rnacentral:sRNA from 1 species
AGGGUCGUACACCGGCAGUGAUCAAAAAAGCGAUGGAAGAACAAGGUAAACAACUGGACGAUUUCUUAAUCAAGGAAUAAUUCAGAAAUAGUUUGCUUAAAAUCCCGCCAGUGGCGGGAUUUU